CAAGCAAGCCGUUAAAGGGAAAUCGCCAUAGCGAUAAACGAUGGAUGGCGGCCAAACCACCGGCCGCAAAGCGCCUGAGGAGCGGCGCGGCCUCCGAUUCCAGGGACAUUUCAAGCAUCGGCGCUCCCACGUGACAGCUCCUAAUAAUUUUUUUUAAUUUUGAUCAGGCUUCUCUGCGGGCUGCCGGGCGCUGAGGCCCGAAGAGGGAACGCCGCGCGGGGGCUGCUGGGAGUUGUAGUUCCGGGCCGGACGGGAUCGAAGCGCGAGUCUCCGGCCGCCAUUUUGCGGGCCCCCUGAGGGGUCCGUGAGGGGCAGCGGAGCUCGGCUUCACCCCGUGCUCGUGGGGGCGCCCGAGGUGUGUCAGCGUACAUUUAUUUCCACCUUAGGAGCAGGGGCCGAGUAGGGAGUGCUCCUGGGAAACGCUCAGGGAAUACAGGCCAGGUAGCAUCUGGGACGGAAGAGAGGAGCCUCCAAUUGCACGGGACCGGGAGAAGAACACACCAGUUGUUGCCAAAACAUGAGGCGUUUUGUGCAUAACCCGGCCCAAAUCCGCCCAUCUACAGCUUUGGUCUUCACACUGAGGCAGGAAAAGCUUCCUUGCGCCUCACUCCUGCCAAAAACACCCUGAGGAUCGGGGUUCUCCGUGCCGGGGAGCGGGGUCGAGCGACACGGCCGGGCCCAGGGAGCCCUGCAAGGUGCAGGUGGGUGAGUCAGGAGUGUGCCACGCUGGAAACGUGCACAUGUCAGGACUCUGAACGAGGAAGGACAGCUCAGCCCGCGGGGAGGGUGUGAAUCACGGCAAUCCCAGCAGCAGCAGGUCACAGCUGCUGUUUUCCCCAGAGCAGCUCCAGCCUCAUGACCCGGCCUGUACAGAGCUGCGGGAUGACGUGCCUGGAGUCAGCCAGCAGUGGAAAGCCCUGGAAAGUCUUUGUGUGUGUUCUUUCCCUGAUUUUUCACCCUGUAACUUGGUGCCUUCGUUAACACCUGGCACUCUGCCCUUCUGAAAUUCCCAGAGGAGUGGAAGCAGCCCUGCCAUUUGAACCAGGUCUGGGAGCGCCUCUGCCUUUCGGGUCAUUUGUCCAUCCCAACAACACAGCCUUGGCCACAAAGUGCCUGUUGUGGACGGCCAGGAUCAGAGCAUCCAUCCAUGAAGCACUAGAAACUCAAACAACUGCUGAUCUGGCUGAUGAAAGAGAUGGUAAACAUUCAUUACCCCAUUGCUGAGUACUGCCAGCCACAGCUCUUGGCCUCAGCGCUGCCACGGGGUAUGGCUGAGCCUGUCUCCGUGGUCAGCCUCCGUUGUGCUCCCUCCUGGGACGGGAAUUCCUGCAGCAGUUCCUCUCCCUGGGGACUGGAGAAGUGUGAUCCCGUUCCCAGCCAGGGAGUAAGCACAGCUUAGACCAAACACGGCCCAAGAGCUGUCACAGAGGACACAUCAUUUCAGGGGAAGCUUCGCAGUGCUGGGAUCCUGGAGAAAAAGCCCCUUUGAGUCAGUGCCCACCAGACACAAUUUCCUGUUUAAUUUCCUGACCGUUUCUUACUUGGUAAAGGAAAAGCUGUAAAUUGCAAGAUUGCUUCAGAGACCUUCCUCUGACUGCAGAUGAACUGUUAACCACUUGCAGGAGAGAAUCCAGCAAACCAGCACAAAACUUGUAAAAAAAACCUCAUUUUCUUUUAUAUCUUCUGCGAUUCGCACCGAGAGGAAAGCUGCGCAAAAAAUAAAGGUUGGAAACAUUUUCCUUGGAAAAUCAAACAGGAGCAACUCCACCUCCAGCUGAGCAGGGAUGGACACAUUUGGGAUCCCAGAGGUAGCUACUUACAGCUGUUUGAGCUCAGAUGCUCCAGUGAGGUCGGCUUGCAAGGAAUUCUGAGCUUUAGCUUGAAGAAAAUGGUCACAACAGCUGCAAUUUAUUUAUAAUUGUGCAGAUUAAUCAGUCUAGAGACUGUCUAGAGACUGCUGCAAUCUUGUCCUUCGAGUUUCCGCUCAGCCAGGUGCUGCUGCUGGUGCUCUGCUCAAGUUUUGGAACUGUGCUGGCUGUUCUUCCUGCUGAUGCUAAGCCCAAACCAUUUACAUGGAGCAAUCCUGGUGGUGAAUGAAUUCAGGAGCAGUGCUGAAACUCCAGCACAACAUCCAUCCCUCCCUCCACAACCCUUCACAGAGCCCAGGGAAUUUCUCCCACAAGGCAAGAAUGUCUCCAUGUGAGAAAAAGUGAGUAGACCCUUCAUUACAAACACAGGACACACUCCUUUUGUAAUCAGAAUUUUAUUUUCUUUACAUCCAGGCUUAUUAUUGACAUCUGAAAAUAAAACCGUUCAUUUACAAAUAGGCUAGUGCAAAUUAAAGGUAAUUUUGGAUUUAAAAAAAAUGAAAAAAAAAAGACAUUGCAUGUAACACAAACAAAAUGUGUGUGUUAGGAUGAUCUUCCUGGAACAGCUGGUGGAGGUCGCCUAGGAAAAAACCAAAAAAUAACCCAAAAAUCACAGGGAGAGGGGGAGAUUUAAAACAAAAG